AGCUCUUGCGGAGAAGGCAAUGGUGGCGGAGUGGUCCUGAUAUCACCAGAGUCAUUUCCAUUUUCAUAUUUGUUCAAACCUGUUGUUGAAUAUAUAAAAAGCACUUCAUCAUGACUUAUGUAUUGCCUUGGGAUCCAACAUCUAAUUUGUUUUGGUGAUGCGGAGCUGGUGAUUAAUCAAGUCGAAGAGGAAAUAGUUGCUUGAACAAGCG
rnacentral:lncRNA from 1 species